rnacentral:rRNA from 1 species
AUUGAACGCUGGCGGCAUGCUUUACACAUGCAAGUCGAACGGCAGCGCGGGCUUCGGCCUUGCGGCGAGUGUCGAACGGGUGAGUAAUACAUCUGAACGUGCCCCGUCGUGGGGGAUAGCUCGGCGAGAGCCGGAUUAAUACCGCAUACGACCUGAGGGGGAAAGCUGGGGAUCUUCGGACCUCGCGCUAUUUGAGCGGUCGAUGGGAGAUUAGCUAGUUGGUGGGUUAAAGGCCUACUAAGGCGACGAUCUGUAGCUGGUCUGCGAGGACGACCAGCCACACUGGGAGUGAGACACGGACAAGACUACUAAGGGAGGCAGCAGUGGGGAAUUUUGGACAAUGGGGGAAAGCAUGAUCCAGUAAUGCCGAGUGUGUGAUGAAGGCCUCCGGGUUGUAAAGAAGUUUUGGCGGGAACGAAAAGGACUGAGCAAAGAACAAGGUUCGAUGACGGUACCCGCAGAAUAAGCACCGGCUAACUACGUG